GACAUGGGUGGCAAACGUUAUCCGGAAUUAUUGGGCGUAAAGAGCUCGUAGGCGGUUUGUCGCGUCUGCUGUGAAAACUCGGGGCUUAACCCCGGGCCUGCAGUGGGUACGGGCAGACUAGAGUGCGGUAGGGGAGACUGGAAUUCCUGGUGUAGCGGUGAAAUGCGCAGAUAUCAGGAGGAACACCGGUGGCGAAGGCGGGUCUCUGGGCCGUAACUGACGCUGAGGAGCGAAAGCGUGGGGAGCGAACAGG
rnacentral:rRNA from 1 species